rnacentral:rRNA from 1 species
CGGGGUGAGUAAUGUCUGGGAAACUGCCUGAUGGAGGGGGAUAACUACUGGAAACGGUAGCUAAUACCGCAUAACGUCGCAAGACCAAAGAGGGGGACCUUCGGGCCUCUUGCCAUCGGAUGUGCCCAGAUGGGAUUAGCUAGUAGGUGGGGUAACGGCUCACCUAGGCGACGAUCCCUAGCUGGUCUGAGAGGAUGACCAGCCACACUGGAACUGAGACACGAUCCAG